rnacentral:tRNA from 1 species
GCCUGGGUGGCUCAGUCGGUUAAGCGUCUGACUUCGACUCAGGUCACGAUCUCCUGGUUUGUGAGUUCGAGCCCCGCGUCAGGCC